AAGGCUGUGGGCGAUCAGCAAUCAACACACCUGGGACUGAUGAGGACAAGCUGUAUUUAGACCAGUGGACCCAAGGAUCCUCGCUGGAACUUAGUCUUCUGUACCCAAUCUGCCUCCCUGCGUGAUCGAGCUGUGCGCCUCGACUUCCCUUUUGGACUUUGGACUGCCACCCUCGAUCCUCGACACAAAUUCAGAUAUCAGCAUCCCAUCAUAUUUGGCCGAUUCAAACUGAUUCAGGCGUAACCACUGAUGACCUUGAGAUAAAUAAUUUCAUCAAUCCGCUGCGAUGGAAUUGGAGAGACCAGUCACUGCUGCAGAAUUCAACGUUGCAGCAGUAUCACUACAAAGCGUUUAUUCUUCAGGACCGGAUGGUUACCCUUCCAAAUAAAAAAAUUGUUUUGGC